CGGGCGCGCGGGAGGGGGGAGGAGGCGGGGCGGGGCGGGGCGGGGGCGCGUGCCGCGAGAGGCUCCGUGCACGCGCAGAUGAGGCCGUGCGCGUGCGUGAGCGCGCAUUCCGCGGGGCGCCCGUUUAAGGAGUUGGGCUGGCAGUGACUGCGCAUGCUGAGAAGGCCGCCCGCGCGGGCAAGCCCGCGCAGGCUCAGACCCCCCCCCCGCCCCCCGAGGCGAAGAGCCGGGCAGGGCCGCGGGGAGGGAAUGGAAGAGCCUGGGGGCGGGGUCGGAGGUCAACACAAUCUCUUCCAGGCCACCGAGGCACGGUCCUUACCUGAACACCAAGAUGACUUUCUCCCUGGGUAUCAGAAAUUUCUGCAUGACUGAAACGGCACCUGUGAAAGGUUCAGAACCUUCUGAAUUUCUAAAGUAAUGGCAGAGGAACAUGGAAAACGAAUAACAUUUGAACCAGUCAUACAUCAGUGGGAUGAAUGUUCUUCAAGCCUGCAGUCCCAGCACCACAAAAAUGCCUAAGGCUGGUCAAGGCAAGUGCGAGUGGCAUAGCAUCUCGCUUUGGAAUGAGGGAAGAGAAAACACCUAUUGGGCCUAAGCAGAAACCGAGACGGAAAGAGUCCCAUUUUAACACUUUGUUACAUUGUGAUGGCAAUAAUUAUUUUGGGGGGUAAUCAGUAUCUAAAAUUGAAAACAUUUAUUCUUUUGUUAUUCCUCGUGUUAUCUCUAUUUAACAAUAAUUAUAUUGUAUGCCAUUAGAAAUUGUGAAUAAUGAAGGGCAAAUUGUGGUUCACCACAUGGGCUAAACAUUAAUUUUACUAGAAGCAGAACCAUUGUCACAAAAUGAUCAUGCUUGAAUUCUAGCUUAAGAAAAGAGCUUGUGCUACUUGAGAUGAAGAGUCAAUUCUCUGGUGGGAAUUUCUAUAUGUCUUUUUGCAAUGGUGACAAGAUAGGUAGGAAAAUCACAAAUUCACUCAAUUUGUUGUUUCCACUGCAUGACAUCAAAUAACUUAGACAAAAGAAUCUUUCACUAAACCCCCAACUUUCUGGCAGAGUUGAUUGGUUCGUUUAGUCUUCUAUAGGUGAAUAUUUUUUUCAGUUGAUUUUUUGUGACAUUAAGCCCUUCAGAGA